UUUUGGAGAGUUGGUAACACUGCAUGAACGUCAAGUGAAGAAGCCGGUCAAAAUCUUCUUGUUUUUGUCGUAAAGUUAAAUAAUGAUAAAUUAUAAUUUAUAUCUAUUCUACAAGUUCUAUCUUUUGUUAUUAUUUUUGCAAUAGUUCGGCGCUUGUUAUUGUUAGUUGAAAAUCUCGAGACAUGGCGGGCCAGCAUGCUGGUUGGUGAUUGAGGUAAAUUUUCACCAUUGAUUCACUAUGUACAUAAACUAGGUAUUUUUUUAUUGCAGGUACUACAUCCAAGAUUCAUUUCCCACUUCCCGGACUCCCGAUCAGAACAGAACAGCCAUCAAAGGCAGCAAUGUGCAAGCACCAAGUUUGUGUGGCAGAAGAUGAAGAGGCUUAAAGGACUCCAAGAAAUGAAUUGACAGUCCCGAGUAACUGAUGGAAGCAUUCAUUGAGUCAAAUAUGCUGCAGAACUAUUCAGGUAUAAUGAAUACAGCUGUCUAUCAAUGAAGAUGAAGUCAUAUGAACAAGUCAUGCAUGAACAAGUGAAGCAUAAAUCAUAAUUAUUGUUAUUAAUUUGUUAACAUUGAUAAAAGAUAAUCCAUUGCUGCACGCUCCAUCAUUAGAAUCGUAUCAUGUUGAGUUUUUAAAUGAAGCAGUGGAUCAGCUUCCACCUUCACACAGGAAGUAAAACUAUAAGAAAUUGUAAUUGUUAUCAAUUGUAAAUUAUAGUACUGUAUGACUUUUUCAUUUCAAAAGAGCAACUGUCGAGUUUCUUGCCGGUAUCUUCUCAGCAGAACCUGCCUUCCGAACCGGUGGUAGAAUCUUUACAAAUAGUCAAACUGACGUGUCAAAAGUGCUUGUAAACUGAGCCUACUUGAAAUAAAUGAUUUUUGAUUUGAUUUGAUUUGAGUGAAAAGACUACAAUCAAUGAAAUUUGAUGCUACAGAAAUAAUAGUACAAUUUCGUCAAUGUAACUUUUGUCAUAAUAUAAAAACUGUAAACCUUUAAUCGGAUUUAAGAAACAUUUCAAGUAUGAAUUUCUUGAGUUCAGUGGUGCUAACAUGCGACAAGUGAAAAAAAUAGACAAAAUAUCGUCCAACGGAUAAAUUAUCUCGUUGGUCGCAAGUUAACCACUGAAAUUUGAGAAAAAAGAAAUUAAAGGUAGUGGAAAAUAUGCUUAACUAACGAAGUAAAGUUGUAGAGAUCAACAAAACACAAAGUUAAUUUUUUUCAUACUGUAUGUUUCAAUAUAUUUUUUUUUACUUUUCUUAUAAUUUAAUAAAUGAAAUGUUGAGUGACAAA